CCGUCUGGAGUGGACCAUGACGGUCGGUACAUGGUACAUGCUUGCAUGCUGUGCUGCUGUAUGUCAACAUAAUAUUCAGAUAGAAACUAGACAAAACCUCCACGUAUUUGAGUUAAUUCCUUCUAUUUCUGAAUACAUUAGGCUUCUUGUUUAGACCAGAGUAACAACUUGAGUAAACGUGUGUGAGAUUGGACUGUAGAGGAUCUGUUGGUGCUUCCCACGCAGAGGAGGGUUUUCCGGCUAAAGUUUCCUUUGUGAUUCGGAUGUAACAGCAUGAUAUCUGCAUACGCAAGGCUGGAGAAGGCAACAUGAAUAAACUACUCAGAGUCGUUUUAUGCUGAAAUGGGAAAACGCCCCUCCAGCAAGAUUUAAAAACACAGGUCUGUCUGUCUGUCACCAUGGCAACGGUGGAUCCACAGAAGGGUUCUGUUAGGAUGGAAGUCACCGGGACCCCAGGGUCAGCCCCGAGUCCACAGAGUGAGGCCGUGACCAAUGAGAUGCAGGAGUUAACUCUUCAGCCCGCCCCCAAACUGCCCCCCAUAAAGGAACGCAAAAACGAGCACCGGCAUGUUU